CUCCAGCAGACCCUCCCUCCCAGACCCUCCUACUUCCUGGACAGCAUCCAAUGUUGAAACAUGGAUGCUGUCCAGGAAGUAGGAGGGUCUGGGAGGGAGGGUCUGCUGGAG